rnacentral:rRNA from 1 species
CCUACGGGUGGCAGCAGUGGGGAAUAUUGCACAAUGGGGGAAACCCUGAUGCAGCGACGCCGCGUGAGGGAAGAAGUAAUUCGGUAUGUAAAGCUCUAUCAGCAGGGAAGAAAAUGACGGUACCUGAGUAAGAAGCCCCGGCUAACUACGUGCCAGCAGCCGCGGUAAUACGUAGGGGGCAAGCGUUAUCCGGAUUUACUGGGGGUAAAGGGAGCGUAGACGGCAGUGCAAGUCUGGAGUGAAAGGCUGGGGCUCAACCCCGGGACUGCUUUUGAAACUGUACGGCUGGAGUGCAGGAGAGGUAAGUGGAAUUCUUGGUGUAGCGGUGAAAUGCGUAGAGAUCAGGAGGAACACUAGUGGCGAAGGCGGCUUACUGGACUGUAACUGACGUUGAGGCUCGAAAGCGUGGGGAGCAAACAGGAUUAGAUACCCUAGUAGUC